AUAAUUAUAAUGAGUGAGGCUACUAUUCUAUCGGAAGCACGAAGCCUUCCGUGCUUCCAGCUCGUUUUCGAUGUUGCGACUUUCGAAUUAUCGAUCGGCUCCGUUAAACUUGAUCUAGAGUAUUUGAAGUACUUAGAAAAUAAAUUUUAUGAUUUUACGAUAUCAUUUGCCUACUGAACGAAGGGCUCAAAAUCAACGGCUGAAAAUAAAAAUCUUACAAAAUGUAAUAAUAUGAUAUUAAAAUUUUAAAUCAAAGAUAUUGAUCUUGUUUUAUAUAGUAUAAAGAAUUUUCUAUCAAAAUUUCACGUGAUUUGGAUAUUUCUAUACCGUUAAACUUGCAAACGGCUCACUACGGCCAUUGAAAUUUGUUGAUUUUGAGCUCAUUCGAUCACUAGGCAAAUGAUAUCGAAAAAUAAUAAAAUUUAUUUUCUAGGUACUCCAAAUACUCUAGAUCAAGUUUAACGAAGCUGAUCGAUCGAUUCCAAUAAGUCGCAACAUAGAAAAUGAGGUUAAGCACGAAGGCUCGCCGUGCUUCCGAUACGGUAUAGUAGGGCCUCAGCUCUAAAUUAUUAAUGUAUACUAUUAUCAUAAACUAAAUUAAUAAGUAUAUAUAUAUAUUAUAUAUUAAUAUAUAUUAUAUAGAGUCCGGCUGCUAUGCUAUCGAUAGCACCAAGUAGUUGGUGCUAUCAAGUUUUCUGCCGUUAGAUUAACCCCUUUGAUUAUUUUUACCCGUUAGAUUAUACUAUUCAACCAACCACCCACUCAACCCUAGGGGGCCCACAUCAUCCUAACCGCACAUCACUUAAUCCAAUGGCUAAAAACUUGGUAGCACCAAUGACUUGGUGCUAUUAAUAGCAUAGUAGCCUAGUUCUAUAUAUAUAUAUAUAUAUACAUAUAACAAAAUAUAUAAUAAUUUAUAUUUAUAACAUAAUAUAUAAUGAGUUGAGCUAGAAUACUAUCGGUAGCAAACGGACUCCGUUGCCACCCAUUUGUUAUUAAUGAUGGAGCCUCCAAAUCGAUAAUCCGCACCGUUGAAUAUGAUCUAUAUCACUUGAAGUAUCUAGAAAUCAAAUUUUAUGCUUUUCUGAUAUUGUUCUCUUGUUCAUCAAGUGGGCGUAGAAAUGAACGGCUGAAAAUGAAUAUCCUCUAAAAGGUGAUGAUAGGAAUUUUGUAAUUAAGAUCGAGAGUAUAGAUCUUAUUCUAAAUAGUUUAAAGAAUUUUCUAACCAAAAUUCAAUUGAUUUGGAUAGCUUUACACCGUUAAACAAGAAAACGUCUCAUAUCUACCAUUAAAAUUACAAAUUUUGAAACCCUUCGAUCAAUAGGUCAAUAAUGUCGAAAAGAUUUGAAAUUUGGUUUCUAGAUACUUCAAGUGAUAUAGAUUAUGUUCAACGGUGUCGAUUGUCAAUUUAAAGGCUCCAUCAUCGAAAACAAAUGGGUGGCAACGGAGCCGGUUUGCUACCGAUAGCAUUCCAGCUCAACUCAAAAUAUAAUAACACAUAUAUAAUAUAUAAAUAAAUAUUUAUAAAUAAAAUAUUAUAUAAUAGCAUAU
rnacentral:lncRNA from 1 species